UACGAAGGGGGCUAGCGUUGCUCGGAAUCACUGGGCGUAAAGCGUGCGUAGGUGGUUUGUUAAGUCUGAUGUGAAAGCCCUGGGCUCAACCUGGGAAUGGCAUUGGAUACUGGCGAGCUAGAGUGCGGUAGAGGGCAGUGGAAUUCCCGGUGUAGCAGUGAAAUGCGUAGAGAUCGGGAGGAACAUCUGUGGCGAAGGCGACUGCCUGGACCAGCACUGACACUGAGGCACGAAAGCGUGGGGAGCAAACAG
rnacentral:rRNA from 1 species